AUUGAACGCUGGCAGCAUGCUUUACACAUGCAAGUCGAACGGCAGCGCGGGCUUCGGCCUGGCGGCGAGUGGCGAACGGGUGAGUAAUACAUCGGAACGUGCCCAGUAGUGGGGGAUAGCUCGGCGAAAGCCGGAUUAAUACCGCAUACGACCUGAGGGUGAAAGCGGGGGAUCUUCGGACCUCGCGCUAUUGGAGCGGCCGAUGGCAGAUUAGCUAGUUGGUGGGGUAAAGGCCUACCAAGGCGACGAUCUGUAGCUGGUCUGAGAGGACGACCAGCCACACUGGGACUGAGACACGGCCCAGACUCCUACGGGAGGCAGCAGUGGGGAAUUUUGGACAAUGGGUGAAAGCCUGAUCCAGCAAUGCCGCGUGUGUGAUGAAGGCCUUCGGGUUGUAAAGCACUUUUGGCGGGAACGAAAAGGACUGUGCCAAUACCACGGUUCGAUGACGGUACCCGCAGAAUAAGCACCGGCUAACUACGUG
rnacentral:rRNA from 1 species